rnacentral:rRNA from 1 species
GUGGGGAAUAUUGGACAAUGGGCGCAAGCCUGAUCCAGCCAUACCGCGUGGGUGAAGAAGGCCUUCGGGUUGUAAAGCCCUUUUGUUGGGAAAGAAAUCCUGUCGAUUAAUACUCGGUGGGGAUGACGGUACCCAAAGAAUAAGCACCGGCUAACUUCGUGCCAGCAGCCGCGGUAAUACGAAGGGUGCAAGCGUUACUCGGAAUUACUGGGCGUAAAGCGUGCGUAGGUGGUGGUUUAAGUCUGCUGUGAAAGCCCUGGGCUCAACCUGGGAAUUGCAGUGGAUACUGGAUCACUAGAGUGUGGUAGAGGGAUGCGGAAUUUCUGGUGUAGCAGUGAAAUGCGUAGAGAUCAGAAGGAACAUCCGUGGCGAAGGCGGCAUCCUGGGCCAACACUGACACUGAGGCACGAAAGCGUGGGGAGCAAACAGGAUUAGAAACCCUAGUAGUCC